CGCGGCCUAUCAGCUUGUUGGCGGGGUAACGGCCCACCAAGGCAACGACGGGUAGCUGGUUUGAGAGAACGAUCAGCCACACUGGAACUGAGACACGGUCCAGACUUCUACGGAAGGCAGCAGUAGGGAAUCUUGCGCAAUGGGCGAAAGCCUGACGCAGCGACGCCGCGUGCGGGAUGACGGCCCUAGUGGUUGUAAACCGCUUUCAGCAGGGACGAAAAUGACGGUACCUGCAGAAGAAGUCCCGGCUAACUACGUGCCAGCAGCCGCGGUAAUACGUAGGGGACAAGCGUUGUCCGGAUUCAUUGGGCGUAAAGAGCUCGUAGGCGGUUCAGUAAGUUGGGUGUGGAAGCUCCGGGCUCAACCCGGAGAGGCCACUCAAUACUGCCGUGACUAGAGUCCAGUAGAGGAGCGUGGAACUCCUGGUGUAGCGGUGAAAUGCGCAGAUAUCAGGAAGAACACCGGCAGCGAAGGCGGCGCUCUGGGCUGGUACUGACGCUGAGGAGCGAAAGCAUGGGUAGCAAACAGGAUUAGAUACCCUGGUAGUCCAUGCCGUAAACGUUGGGCACUAGGUGUGGGGAGGAAUCAACCCUCUCCGUGCCGUAGCUAACGCAUUAAGUGCCCCGCCUGGGGAGUACGG
rnacentral:rRNA from 1 species